GAAUGUGUGCACCAUCUGGUUGGGACAUCUGCAACUGGACUGAUCCCCAAGGCUCAUUCAGCUGCUCUGGAUGACUGCGUGGCUGUCCACUCUGUGUCACUGCUUCACACAGGUCCCUCCCAGAGCUGUGUGGUAACUAGAGGUAGAUGAAGGCCAUUUUCUAGUCAGGGACAAUUACCAGCUACACACACAGAAACUACUCAGCUUUGGUUUAUCAGCUGAAAAACUAAUAGUGACUUUUUAAAAGAAAGCUUUUAUCUCUAGUGGGGACAUUCUAUGUCCCAUAUU
ensembl:misc_RNA 7SK 7SK RNA